rnacentral:rRNA from 1 species
UACAGAGGUCUCAAGCGUUGUUCGGAUUCAUUGGGCGUAAAGGGUGCGUAGGCGGCGCGGUAAGUCGGGUGUGAAAUCUCGGAGCUUAACUCCGAAACUGCAUUCGAUACUGCCGUGCUUGAGGACUGGAGAGGAGACUGGAAUUUACGGUGUAGCGGUGAAAUGCGUAGAUAUCAGGAGGAACACCGGUGGCGAAGGCGGGCU